GCGGCAUGCCUUACACAUGCAAGUCGAACGGCAGCACGGGAGCAAUCCUGGUGGCGAGUGGCGAACGGGUGAGUAAUAUAUCGGAACGUGCCCAGUAGUGGGGGAUAGCCCGGCGAAAGCCGGGCUAAUACCGCAUACGCCCUACGGGGGAAAGCGGGGGAUCGCAAGACCUCGCGCUAUUGGAUGAGCCUACGUCGGAUUAGCUAGUUGGUAGGGUAAUGGCCUACCAAGGCAACGAUCCGUAGCUGGUCUGAGAGGACGAUCAGCCACACUGGGACUGAGACACGGCCCAGACUCCUACGGGAGGCAGCAGUGGGGAAUCUUGGACAAUGGGGGAAACCCUGAUCCAGCAAUGCCGCGUGUGUGAAGAAGGCCUUCGGGUUGUAAAGCACUUUCGAUAGGGAAGAAAAGCUGGUUGUGAAUAACAGCCGGUCUUGACGUUACCUAGAGAAGAAGCACCGGCUAACUCUGUGCCAGCAGCCGCGGUAAUACAGAGGGUGCAAGCGUUAAUCGGAAUUACUGGGCGUAAAGCGCGCGUAGGCGGUUCGAUAAGUCGGAUGUGAAAGCCCUGGGCUCAACCUGGGAAUGCCAUUCGAUACUGUCGAGCUAGAGUAUGGUAGAGGAAAGCGGAAUUCCACAUGUAGCGGUGAAAUGCGUAAAU
rnacentral:rRNA from 1 species